UUUAUUUAAUUCUGGUUAUGGGAAGGUUAAAGGCAGGUUUACAUAAGAAGUUUAUUUUGUAUUGAAUGCGGGGUGUUUGAUCGUGUUGUUCUUAGUAGUUAGGUCUUGGAGAUAGAGGGAACUCUGGUCGGGCUGUCUUUAGUGUAGUGGUGAAUGCUCAGUGCCAGCAUCCGCGGUUAUUCUGUUAGCUUUUUUUCCGGGGUAUUAGGUAUAAAAUGUUUAAAAUUAAGAUUUAGGUUUGAGUAAAAUCUUCCUAUUGUUGAAAAGAGAUUUUAAUGUUUUGGAUUUGUUAUGAUAAAAAAGGAUUAGAUACCCUUGUAUAUAUAACUUAAGUUUUUGUCCAUAGUAGUAAACUAAAAGGAUUUGGCAGCCGAUAAAAUUCUGCCGGGGGAAUGUGUAUCAUAAUAGAUGGUCCGCUUAGUAUUUUACCUUGGCUACUUUUGUUAGUGUAUAUCCGGUUUAAAAUUUGUGAUUAGUGUCUACAAGUGUAAUUUGAGGUAUUUAAGCCAGGUCAAUGUGCUGCUAAUGCUAAGGAGCUUAUGCGUUACUGUAGGAAAAGUAUUAUUGGGAGGAUGAUGAUAAUAUUUAGGACUCGGAAGUAGGUGGGUAUGUGUUAAUUUAGUUAGUGCUUUGCAUCGAAGAGGAUUUUAGUUGGGGUACACACCGCCCGUCGCCCAAAGCGUUAGCUGUGGUAAGUCGUAACAUGGUAAUGCUGGAGGAAUCUGGUGUUAGUUGUCUUGUGAGUUUAUUUUGCAAUUGAUG
rnacentral:rRNA from 1 species